rnacentral:rRNA from 1 species
UACGGGGGGAGCAAGCGUUGUUCGGAUUUACUGGGCGUAAAGGGCGCGUAGGCGGCGUGACAAGUCACUUGUGAAAUCUCCGGGCUUAACUCGGAACGGUCAAGUGAUACUGUCGGACUAGAGUACAGAAGGGGCAACUGGAAUUCUCGGUGUAGCGGUGAAAUGCGUAGAUAUCGAGAGGAACACCUGCGGCGAAGGCGGGUUGCUGGGCUG